UCAUUUCCUGUCUUUGUUUGCUUUUCCCUCCAGUUUUGAUUGUUUGCCCUGCCCUAAUUAGUUGCACCUGUGUCUCGUUGUCUCCCCUACCUGAGCGUAUUUAGUCUGAGUUCUUCCUUUGUUUUGUAUUGGAUCGUCAUUGUAUUCACGUCAAGCGACCCGGCUUUAGUUUUCUGUGUUUUGGAUUAUUUCUCUGUUUUCUCUUGAACUUUGCUGGAUUUUGCCUGUUCCCUGGAUUUAUAUUUUCCUUAGUUUGACUGCGUACCUGUUUUUGUGUGACUCCUGCCUGCCUGUCAGUGUACUGAGUGGGUUUGCUGUCAGGUGCUCUCUUCCUACCUCACAGACAGAGGAGACUGUGUUGAGCUUGCGUUGGAUGGAAGUGAUCCCAUCGAUAAAGGCCGACUGGAAGAUGAUGCAGUGUGCUCUGCCUGCAAAGUCUGGGAUCUGACACAGCUCAUACAGGAACCUGGAAAACAACCACAUCAACAGGGUAAAAGUCCCAGAUGAUCCUUCCUCUGAUUUACUGAAAAGAAGAAAGAUGUUUGGACGUUUGGGAUUAGCAAUGCAGACUGGCUCUCUGUAACCAUCUUGCUGACAUUGUGGUGGAGGCUCGAUAUGAGGAUGCCCACGGCCUGAGAGCGCUUCCCGUCCAACAGCUUAAUGAUCUGACACACACACACACAGUUACCAUGACCACCUUACCACUAAAAAGCAUUAGUGAGUCAUUAGGGGAGAGUUUACUGUGAAAAGAUGGCGCACAGUAGGUCAUAUUAUGCUUCACCUUGAUGCAUUAGCACUUCUUGCAUUUGUAACCAGAGCUGUUAGGAAUGGGGAUUGAUUUAUGUACACAGCUGAUUAAAUGUUACUGACAGCAAGCUAUUGUGCAUGUUGUACUCAUGUUUGGGAUCUUUUUUUGGCCUUUUUAUUUCAUUGUAUUAUUAUCCUUCUCAUUGUCUCUUAAAUGUUUUAACGCAUUCUUAUGUCUUAUGUAUAGUGCUUUAGACUGCCUUUGUGUUUGAGAGGUGCUAUGCAAAUACACUUGUAGCAUUAGUGUCCUUACUGCUUGCAAAUGCAGCAAACACAAAUAAAAUCAAGGUGAGGAAUUGGGAGAAAAUGGCUGAACAGAUACAGAACAGUGGAGAAAUAUACUUCUAGUGUAAAGAGCGUAAAUAAAUCACAACUGUGAGUUGAAUAUAAAACGCUUGAUUUGACAGGAAAAGAUAAAUAACACUAUGAGGAAGACAUAAACUUUAUCAUGGGGGAAUUCUUUAGUGUCUUUGCCCUCCCAAAAUGCUUUUUUUUUUACUCAUAAUUGUGCCUCAGUAUGAAUUUAUAAUGCUCUUUUAACAAGUUUAUAAUGAUCUGGCAUCUGUAAACUCAAUGGCAUCAACCCCCUCUAGUGGACAAGCAACGUAUUGCAAAUAAUCCCAAAAACUGAAGUGUGUCUUGCAUGAUGUUCUAGUUAAUUUUGU